UAAAGUUCAACUGUUGUUUGAUGUUGUUGCCGGUGUUCAUUUCUUUCUCAACGUUGUAGUGUCGUUGAUAAUUUUAAUGUCUCUAAAGAACUGAAAGUCAAAGACAUGGCUACAGUAGAAGAACUCUAUAAAGCUUUUGGUGUUAUUGCGGAUGCAAAGGAUAAAGCAGGAGAGCAUGAAGCGGAAUUCAGAUCAUUUCUGAAGGCAGCUAAGGGCAGUGUGAAUGAGAAAAGACUAGCGUCACAAUUCAUCUGCAGGUUCUUUAAACAUUUCCCAAAUGUUCAAGAAGAAGCGAUUAAUGUAUUGUUCGAACUGUGUGAGGAUUCUGAUCCCAAUAUAAGGAAGCAGACAGUGAAAGAUGUCCCCGCACUGUGUCGAAACUGUCCGGACAAAGUAACCAGGUUUGCAGAUGCUCUGUCCAUGCUGUUGGCAACAGAUGAUGCACAAGAAAUCUCAGGCAUCCAGUCUUCCCUCUACAGCCUCUUCUCUAUCGACAUCAAAGCUGCUCUGGAGGGGAUCUUCACUCGUCUUCUGCAAGCCUCAGAUGAGGAAGAAGCUGCAGAAGAUGUGAUGGGUCUGAUCAGGGAGCGAUUGUUGAAGUUCCUGGUGGCCAAGCUCAAGCUCUACGGAGACCUGGAGAAGGAUGUGGAGGAUUAUAUCAUGUUGCAAUGUAAAAAGUUAUUGGAAGAUGUGACAAAGGAUGAGUUCAUCGCUGUCAUGGACCUUCUGCGUAGCCUCAAGACUAUGGCCACAGUCCAGUCCAGACAGCAACUUGUGGAGAUGGUCAUUGAUCAGGCUGCUCUUGAUGAACCGUUUGAGGCCUCAGAUCCUGACUGUGUGGACAGACUUCUGCACUGCGUAAAGUCUGCGUCUCCUAUGUUCUCGAAAAAUGUGCACUCAAAACAGUUUGUGACCUACAUGUGUGACAACGUGAUUCCAGCCCUGAAGAGUUUAGCCAGUCCUGACGAGGAGACAAACAUUCAGUUGGAAGUUCUCAAGACGUUUGCAGAAAUCUCAGAGUUUGCUGGGGAUCUGGACAAAAUUGAAGAGCGCGUCAACAUUGUGUUCACAGCACUAUUAGAGUACAUGCCCCUACCUCCAUCUGAGGAAAAAGAGGAGUCGGCGACGGAAGACCCUAAGUUGAACUUCUCUCAGGUGGAAUGCCUCAUGUUCGUCUUCCACCAGCUGGGCCGCAAGCAUCCCGGAUAUCUGGCAGAUGAAGCAAACGCAGAGAGGUUGAAAGAUUUUAGAGUCAGGCUUCAAUAUCUUGCGAGAGGAAGCCAGAUCUGCAUUAAGAGACUGAAGGAGGCUUUGGCAGGAAAGACCGGCGAUGCACUGAGGACCGAUGAGAACAAGAAGCGUAUAGUGGCCCUGAAGCUGUUCACCAACAUCACGGUUCUGGUGAAGGACUUGAUGCACAACCCACCAUCCUACAAGGUGGCUGUCACUCUCUCCUGGAGACCCACCAAGGAACUGAAAACUUCGGAUCCAUCUUCUGACAGUGCAGUGACUUCACCGACCGCUGGACAAAAGCGAAGUAUCACCCCAAUCACAUACGACAGCUCCAAUGGUAAAAAGGUCAACCCAAAGCAACCUCGUUCCCUGUACCAACCUCCCAGUGGCAAGUUCAGUGAGAAAGCAGGAUCCUACGACAACUACAGCUUCCGCGGGAAUCGAGGGGGCGGCUGGCGAGGAGGGUUCAGAGGUAGAGGGCGAGGCCGUGGCAACAGAGGGCGAGGAGCGAGCACAGGCUUCUAUCAGAACAGUUUGUGAGAGGAGAAAAGAUCAACACAAGACAUAACCAACUUAUUAUUUUUAUAACAGGAACAUCUGUACCCACCAGAUUUAAUGCUUUGAAAAGCUGAGAGUUGAAGGCCACUGUUGAUUAUUUAUGGAGCUUAUGUCUUCUGGUUGGUGAAAUUUUUUGUGAGAACCAUUACCAGCUGUUGUGAAAUACUUACUGGGACAUGAUGUUGAUGAGAGAUGGCAGGGCUAAUGGUACUGAAUUCCACGUUCAAAUGUUGUCGGUUGCAGCUGGUGUCGACGUGUGCUAAAUGAUUGUGUUCUUCUAUUUGCUUAACGAGCUGGUGGGUGUCGUUAGAGGUUCUGUGUAGAAGUCAGUCACGAAAUGAAGUGUUGGCAGGUUUUACCAAGUACUACAGCAGCAACACGGCUGGAAAAAAAAAAGUCUUAUUUCUUUGUUGUUUUGAAGAAAUUGUUGGAAGUCUUUACAAACAUUGUUUCUGUCAAAAUCAAUUUUUUUAAGAUUGUCACUCACCAGUGCUCUUCUUGGGGGUAUGUUUUGUUUGUCUCUCCCAUGAAAGCAGUAUCAUUUUACAGUCAUGAAGUCUUUAAAUGCUUGGUUCCUCCAUGUGACGGUUCUGUAGCUGUUUGAAAAGUGCAUAACCUUUGCAGUUUUGCGAAAGAAUUUGAGACCUCACAUGUUGAUAAAAACAACUCUCCAUCUUCAUAAUUAUGCCAAGUCUUAUUUUGAAUGUAAGAUCUCUUGUUCAAAAUGUUGACGAGAAAAUGUAUGUGUACUGCUUUAAAGUAUUUGGCCGAGUGGCAUCAUGUAAUUUGAUUACUUUCAGCCCUGCAGAAAUGUAGAGUGACUUCUACUGAUUUUUUUGUUGUUUUUUUUGUUUUGUGUUUUCGCUGUUUCCUGAAAUUGUGGACACAAUGAAAUUGUUGACAAAGUGUUUGUUCCUGGGCUUGAGAGUUUAGAAAAAUGUCCAAGAGGAAAGUAUAGAGUUGGGUUAGUAGGGGAAAGCCAUGGAUGGAGGCAGAAUACGGAUGUGGAGUCAUAGUUGGACUAAAGCUGGGACUGAUCGCCUAGGACGAUGUGGACAGCACGACGGCUUGCCCUGGCCUCUUGUGGCUCGUCCCCUGGUGUCCCCGCAGCCCGCUGUGUGUGUUUGUGCAACUGACAGGGCAGGUAAGGUGUCACUAUGCGCACAACCCAUUGAACUAAAUGUUGAUGUUCUGUCUUGUAAAAGAGCUGUCUUUUGUGUUGCAGUACUCACGCUGUUUCAGUCUUGCAAAGUAGUUUGGUUAAACCUUGUUUUGAAGCUUUCGUUUUGUCAAAUCUGGAAAUCUCCUCUUAUAAGCUUAAAAGACUUGAAGUGCUAGAAGUUGAAAAGACAUUUUGUUUUUUUACCAAAAUUUCUUAAGUCGGCGUGAGUUCUGCAAAUGAAUUAUUAUUAGAUACUAACGAGACAUUGAUGUCGGGUCUUUGGUGGAAAUUGCUGAACUGAAGAUGUCAGAGACAAGAACAUUGUCUGUUAUGUUCUUAACUGACAUAAAAAUGAAACACAUAAAAGCACUCACUGGCUAUCACAACCGUUGAUUCUUUUUAUAGAAGGUUUGGUUUACAGUACGAAACUUCGAACUAGUGUGAACAAGAAAUCUUCCGACUUUCACUGUGAGCAAUUUUCACUGACUACUUGCAGUGAUUAUAUUGUCGCCCUUGUGGUAAAACUGGCUGACCUACACAAUUUGUUUUUUUGAAUUUGACAAAUCAGUAGUGAACUAUCCAUUUCAUAUGCUCAAUCAAAAACAAGUCUGUAUUUUGUACAAGAAUUGCCCUGAAGCCAAACAACCUGCCAGCCACCAGAUUGCUGUGUGAUAAAAUCCAGAUAAGAUUUUUGCUUCUCGUGUGAAAUUUACUCCCCUGGGUUUAGCCAGUCUUAUUGAAAGGGCGGCGAUAUGAUUGUCUUUUACUUUUGCAGUGCAGCUGUUUUGGGCGUUAUGGUCGGACUUUGUUCCUCAGUUGUACAGAAAGAUCCUGGUUGGUGGAUACAUUUUCUUUCUUCUCUUGAACCUAGGAUGUGCAAGUCUGGUUUUGUUCCAUAUCCUCUUUGUAAUACUGGUUUAGACCAGUCUAGGUUCCACAAAGCAAAAGUAAAUUUUCUCUGUGGCAACAGUAGGACUUGAGAACGAUUUUGCCUAGGUAAAUGUUGAUUUUGCAGAUGAAAAACUUUCACUAGACACUUUUUUUUUUUUUUUAAAUUGAAAUGAGGAAAUGGUUAAUAGGGUAUUCUCCAGCCCUGGAAUUGAUUUGGUCUAAGACAUUGGUAUAAAAUUUCACAAUUUUCUGUUACAUCUAAAUUUAGCUUUCUUUUCUUUUACAGUAUGGGUUUACCUUGACGUACAUCGUUGUGACAAUUCUGCAUGCUGAAAGUAGUGUCUGUAUCACCGGCCAACUGAUCAGAUGUUCUAAGCCCAUAAUUUUUAAAUUGCCGUUUCUGAAUUUGUAGACUGGGUUGCACUUGCUAAAAAAUAUUGUCCAAAUUCAAAUUCUAGAUUUUGAAAAAAAAUAUCAAGAAAAAAUACACCACACAAGUGCAUUUUUUAAGUUAAUGGAAAAAAUUUCUUUUUUCUGGAAAAUUUUGCUUUCUGGGCUUAGUACAUUUGAACAGCUUGUUGGUAAAUAUUCUUCAGUUGGUCAUGUGUUUGGUGCUUUGGUGUGGUCUGCUCCUUUGAUUUCUCUACAGUGUUGCUGUUCUUAUGUGUUCCAGGGGAAUUUAGCAGUUGUGCUGACUGGCAGCCGAAUACAACUAAAUUAUUGUCUGUUCUUCUUCCAUUUUUACUUUGCUGUUAAUUGUACCUGGGUUUUUUAUUUUUUUAUUUUUUUUAUUCAAGCAAGUUCAGAAAGAAAGCAAAGUUGGGAGAGUCCAAAUUCUUCCGCCAUGUUACGGGAGAAAGAUCACCAUUGCAGAAUAACAAAUUAAAUCACUUCAUUUUUUAUUUCAGCAGGUGUUUCCUUCUAUCAAAAAUGUAAUAAUUAAUGAACAUCCUAUACUGGUACCAUUUUGUUUUGUUUUUUCCCCAGCUCUAGCUAUAAGAGGAAAAAUCCAGUGCUUCAGUAAAUGUUUUUGUUUAUAGUGGACUUUGCUGAUAAGAUGAUGUUAAAGAGACACCGAUACGCAUAUUUUUUACAACAACAAAAAAAGUAUUGUUAGUAUUGUGCUUUGUCACUGGUAAACCAUUUUGUCAGGCUGUGGUGAAAAACGGCAUCAUUGUGUUGGAAGAUGGUUUUUCAAAAAUCAUUUUCAGCUUAGUCCUCUGUAUCCCAACUCUACUAAUUUUCUCUUACAUUUUUUCAGGGUCAUCAUUGACUGUGCCCUAACAGUGAAGACUUUUUGAGUAGUGUUGUAGAAUAUGUAUAAGUCUCACCACCGUGUGUUACUUACUACCUGUCAAAUGUGCCCUUCAUCGAAUGUUGUAUGUGUACGGAAGUGAAGUUUUUGUCUUUUUCCACAGACACUGAGCGUUUUGUGGACCUUACUGUUUACAUUUUGUUAUUGGUCAUUCAUCAGUUUCUCUUACAGGUCUCCGGCCCACUACUGGAUGGGGUGGGAUAGAGGGAGGUUUGAUUUUGAGCAGCAAAACUGAACUGAUUUGAAAUAAACUUUUUGUGUCUCAUGAAA
rnacentral:misc_RNA from 1 species